GAAGAACCUUACCAAGGCUUGACAUAUAGAGGAAAAGCGUAGAAAUACGCUCCCCGCAAGGUCUCUAUACAGGUGGUGCAUGGUUGUCGUCAGCUCGUGUCGUGAGAUGUUGGGUUAAGUCCCGCAACGAGCGCAACCCUCGUCCUAUGUUGCCAGCACGUAAUGGUGGGAACUCAUGGGAGACUGCCGGGGUCAACUCGGAGGAAGGUGGGGAUGACGUCAAAUCAUCAUGCCCCUUAUGUCUUGGGCUUCACGCAUGCUACAAUGGCCGAUACAAAGGGCUGCGAUACCGCAAGGUGGAGCGAAUCCCAUAAAGUCGGUCUCAGUUCGGAUUGAGGUCUGCAACUCGACCUCAUGAAGUCGGAGUCGCUAGUAAUCGUAGAUCAGCAACGCUACGGUGAAUACGUUCCCGGGCCUUGUACACACCGCCCGUCAAGUCACGAAGUCGGUAACACCCGAAAGCCAGUGGCCCAACCGCAAGGAGGGAGCUGUCGAAGGU
rnacentral:rRNA from 1 species